rnacentral:rRNA from 1 species
UCUAGCGAGACUGCCGGUAAUAAACCGGAGGAAGUGGGGAUGACGUCAAAUCAUCAUGCCCCUUAUGACCUGGGCUACACACGUGCUACAAUGGGCGGUACAAAGGGUCGCGAACCCGCGAGGGGGAGCCAAUCCCAAAAAGCCGACUCUCAGUUCGGAUUGCAGGCUGCAACUCGCCUGCAUGAAGCCGGAAUCGCUAGUAAUCGCGGAUCAGCAUGCCGCGGUGAAUACGUUCCCGGGCCUU